rnacentral:rRNA from 1 species
GCCUAAAGCGUCCGUAGCCGGCUUUGUAAGUUUUCGGUUAAAUCUAUAUGCUCAACAUAUAGGCCGCCGGGAAUACUGCAAAGCUAGGGAGUGGGAGAGGUAGACGGUACUCCGUAGGAAGGGGUAAAAUCCUUUGAUCUAUGGAUGACCACCUGUGGCGAAGGCGGUCUACCAGAACACGUUCGACGGUGAGGGAUGAAAGCUGGGGGAGCAAACCGGAUUAGAUACCCGGGUAGUCCCAGCUGUAAACUAUGCAAACUCAGUGAUGCAUUGGCUUGUGGCCAGUGCAGUGCCGCAGAGAAGUCGUUAAGUUUGCCGCCUGGGAAGUACGUACGCAAGUAUGAAACUUAAAGGAAUUGGCGGGGGAGCACCACAAGGGGUGAAGCCUGCGGUUCAAUUGGAGUCAACGCCAGAAAUCUUACCCGAAGAGACAGCAGGAUGAAGGUCAAGCUGAAGACUUUACCAGACAAGCUGAGAAGUGGUGCAUGGCCGUCGCCAGCUCGUGCCGUGAGGUGUCCUGUUAAGUCAGGUAACGAGCGAGAUCCUUGCCUCUAGUUGCUACCAUUACUCUCAGGAGUAGUGGGGCGAACUAGCGGGACUGCCGUAGUUAAUACGGAGGAAGGAGAGGGCCACGGCAGGUCAGUAUGCCCCGAA